rnacentral:rRNA from 1 species
GAUGAACGCUGGCGGCGUGCCUAAUACAUGCAAGUCGAGCGAACGGACGAGAAGCUUGCUUCUCUGAUGUUAGCGGCGGACGGGUGAGUAACACGUGGAUAACCUACCUAUAAGACUGGGAUAACUUCGGGAAACCGUAGCUAAUACCGGAUAAUAUUUUGAACCGCAUGGUUCAAAAGUGAAAGACGGUCUUGCUGUCACUUAUAGAUGGAUCCGCGCUGCAUUAGCUAGUUGGUAAGGUAACGGCUUACCAAGGCAACGAUGCAUAGCCGACCUGAGAGGGUGAUCGGCCACACUGGGACUGAGACACGGUCCAGACUCCUACGGGAGGCAGCAGUAGGGAAUCUUCCGCAAUGGGCGAAAGCCUGACGGAGCAACGCCGCGUGAGUGAUGAGGGUCUUCGGAUCGUAAAACUCUGUUAUUAGGGAAGAACAUAUGUGUAAGUAACUGUGCACAUCUUGACGGUACCUAAUCAGAAAGCCACGGCUAACUACGUG